rnacentral:rRNA from 1 species
UACGAAGGGGGCUAGCGUUGUUCGGAAUUACUGGGCGUAAAGCGCAUGUAGGCGGCUUGGCAAGUCGGGGGUGAAAUCCUGAGGCUCAACCUCAGAACUGCCUUCGAUACUGCCUGGCUAGAGUAUGGAAGAGGUUGGUGGAACUGCGAGUGUAGAGGUGAAAUUCGUAGAUAUUCGCAAGAACACCAGUGGCGAAGGCGGCCAACUGGUCCAUCACUGACGCUGAGAUGCGAAAGCGUGGGGAGCAAACAGG